rnacentral:rRNA from 1 species
GACGAACGCUGGCGGCGUGCUUAACACAUGCAAGUCGAACGGAAAGGCCCUGCUUUUGUGGGGUGCUCGAGUGGCGAACGGGUGAGUAACGCGUGAGUAACCUGCCCUUGACUUUGGGAUAACUUCAGGAAACUGGGGCUAAUACCGGAUAGGAGCUCCUGCUGCAUGGUGGGGGCUGGAAAGUUUCGGCGGUUGGGGAUGGACUCGCGGCUUAUCAGCUUGUUGGUGGGGUAGUGGCUUACCAAGGCUUUGACGGGUAGCCGGCCUGAGAGGGUGACCGGCCACAUUGGGACUGAGAUACGGCCCAGACUCCUACGGGAGGCAGCAGUGGGGAAUAUUGCACAAUGGGCGGAAGCCUGAUGCAGCAACGCCGCGUGCGGGAUGACGGCCUUCGGGUUGUAAACCGCUUUCGCCUGUGACGAAGCGUGAGUGACGGUAAUGGGUAAAGAAGCACCGGCUAACUACGUG